GAAGCCAACAUUUUUACUGUAGCAAAAUGGUCAACGCCGAUUUCCGGUCACCUUCGGCCACAAACCCAGGUCCAUUAGAAGCGCCUUGAGCCACUCUUCAUGCUCUCCAAACCUCUUGCACCGAUUCGAAGCGUGGAGGAAGAAAGCAUAAUUAGAAGAUUUUACUGUUCACUCGGGUUCAACCUUCUCCUUAAUUGUUGAGGGCGACGUACCGAGCUAUUGCUCGAUGAAGGAACUCGUAUGCGUGAUCGUCUAAAUAGUACUUUUUGA
rnacentral:lncRNA from 1 species